AUCCAACUGACGAGUCCAAAAUAGGACGAAACGUGCGUCCUGGAU
rnacentral:hammerhead_ribozyme from 1 species